AUUGAACGCUGGCGGCAGGCUUAACACGUGCAAGUCGAGCGGGGUGAUGGUGCUUGCACUAUCACUUAGCGGCGGACGGGUGAGUAAUGCUUAGGAAUCUGCCUAUUAGUGGGGGACAACAUCUCGAAAGGGAUGCUAAUACCGCAUACGUCCUACGGGAGAAAGCAGGGGAUCACUUGUGACCUUGCGCUAAUAGAUGAGCCUAAGUCGGAUUAGCUAGUUGGUGGGGUAAAGGCCUACCAAGGCGACGAUCUGUAGCGGGUCUGAGAGGAUGAGCCGCCACAGUGGGACUGAGACACGGCCCAGACUCCUACGGGAGGCAGCAGUGGGGAAUAUUGGACAAUGGGGGGAACCCUGAUCCAGCCAUGCCGCGUGUGUGAAGAAGGCCUUAUGGUUGUAAAGCACUUUAAGCGAGGAGGAGGCUCUUUUGGUUAAUACCCAAGAUGAGUGGACGUUACUCGCAGAAUAAGCACCGGCUAACUCUGUGCCAGCAGCCGCAGUAA
rnacentral:rRNA from 1 species